rnacentral:rRNA from 1 species
AAUGAACGUUGGCGGCGUGGAUUAGGCAUGCAAGUCGAGCGAGAACCGUAGCAAUACGGGGACAGCGGCGAAAGGGAGAGCAAUACGCGGAUUACCUGCCCUCAGACCUGGGAUAGCCGCGGGGAACUGCGGGUAAUACCAGAUAACGUCUCCGGACCAAAGGUGUGAUUCCGUCUGAGGAGGGGUCCACGUCCUAUUAGCUAGUUGGUCGGGUAACGGCCUACCAAGGCCAAGAUGGGUACGGGGUGUGAGAGCAUGCCCCCCCUCACUGGGACUGAGACACUGCGCAGAAACCUACGGGUGGCUGCAGUCGAGGAUCUUCGGCCAUGGGCGACAGCCUGAGCAAGCGACGCCGCGUGCGGGAUGAAGGCCUUCGGGUUGUAAACCGCUGUCGGAGGGGAGGAAAUGCUGUGGGGUUCUCCCCACAGUUUGACCUAUCCUCAGAGGAAGUACGGGCUAAGUUCGUGCCAGCCGCCGCAGUAAAAC